rnacentral:lncRNA from 1 species
UUCGACCAAAAUUUUGGUCACUAGCAGCCUCCCCAGACCACGUAGGCAUCCAGCAUGGAAAGCUGAUGUGGCACAAGAAUUAGCCCGGCCCAAUUCGGUUUUCUACAUGGGCCUAGCCCAACAAUUAGGCCUUUUUAAUGUAUUUUUUCCUGUGCUUUUAUUAGCUACAUGGGUCUGGCCCAACAAUUCAGCCUUAUUGAUUUCUUUGCGUGGCCCUUUUAACAGCAGAUUUUCUUUUUGAUCAUGUAUUUUUCUGGGCCAUUUCUUUGUUGGGCCUCCCAUGUUUUUCCCUCAAAAUAAUUGUCCAAUAUAACUUGGGCCUCGCCCAGUUCCGAAAAAAUUGAUCCAAUCCAAAAACAAUUAUUAUGCCAUUGACAUUACAACACAUCACACCACAAGAUAUCUUGGGCCUAGCCCAGUUCUGACACAUUUUCAAAGCAACAUACAAUGUUAUUAUUACAACCAUUCAUUCCAGCAAUACUAUUUGAGGCUGGCUGGCUGGCUGAGCUACUACUGACUGACUGCGGGCUAACUCUAAGUUUUUACAACAGGUGAAUCAGAAACCUAACGCUACCGCAUUUGCAUGGCGCUGCUGAAAUACUCCAGGAUCGUGAAAAAAAAUUAGAACUAGCCUAUCUGGUACUUCACAGCAACCAAACAUGUAAUCUGCUUAAUGGAAAGAUUUCUUCUCCAAGUCCCGCUUCUCCCUUAGCAAUGACAGGCUGAUGCAAAACAUCUGAGCAUUCAAAAGAGAACAAAAGGUAUGUCACUGAUAGAAUACAGAGUACUUUUAAAUAAAAAGUAAAGAUACACCAGUAUAUUAUCAUUCUACAUAUUAUUAUUAUUAACCAGAUCAUUCUACUUAUCCAGAAUAUGGCUAUUCAUCAAAAUUGGGAAUUGAAUUGGCACAUAUGACAAACUUAGCAGCAAACGAGCAAGGUGCAUGAUUCAAAGUUACAACAGAUCGAAGUUCCAUUUGAGUAUAAGGAAUAAAAUUCAUAUUCAAUCA